CUAAGUGGCACUGAGGUCAGUCUGAUCUGUCACCACCCACUUCCUCACAUCUCACACUCCCACAUGUAGCAUAUAGCCAAUCAUGCAUCAUCCAUCCCACACUCAUACAUGUAGAAUAUAGCCAAUCAUGCAUCAUCCAUCCCACACUCAUACAUGUAGAAUAUAGCCAAUCAUGCUGUGGCGGAACCCGCCUCGCCACCUGGCAUUGGAGAGGCC